UGUGAAAAAGGAAUGGUGGGCCCCUCU
rnacentral:piRNA from 1 species